AGUCCGGGACAUUUCUAUUUGGACAUAAAAAAUUUGAAUUUUCUGACAUUUAUACGUGUAUUCAGCGUCUGUGUGAACAAAAAAUGUUCUCUCUCUCAUUCUAUGGUUCUUGAGCUUUAAUAACAGGGACAUUUUUUAAAUUGGUAGCAUUAGAAAAUGACAGUAAACAGCUGACUGAUGUAAACAAUAACACAAUAACAAAGGAAAUGUUAUAAUUUUAAUCUAUAUAACCAGUGGCUGCUUUAAAAGUGUGUACUAACGGGAUAAUAACAUAUUUACGCAAGUAUUUUUGAAGGUAGAAACAUUACUUGUCAUAUAACAACUACUCAGAUUAUAUGAUGAGACGGGAAUGGCACAAUACAGAAUUGCAGUCAGUGAUUGUGAUGGAGAAAGCUGCUGUGAAGUACUGACAGUACUGACUAUCGCUGGUUGUACGAUUUGUGCAAUUUGUGAUAUAUUUUGUGUGAAAAACUGGAAAAGAAAGUGCAUCACUGCAUAACCUCACUUAUCGCAGUUUUGCACUUUUUGAUGAUGGGAAUUGCGGUUCAAGUAAUUAUGAGUUAUAGAUGGAGAGCCCUGUUUACUUCAAACUGAAGCCUUUUGGGUCCACUUUGUUCGUUAUUUCCUGGCAGCCACUCUUGUUUCAAGCAGAGUGGGUGUAAAGUUAAAAAUAAUCCCGUAAAAUUGUUAAUAUAACUCCUUUGCACUGGCAUGGGGUAUUUGAAAACUUACGUUUAACAAAUACGUCACAAAGUCUCAGCCAUCGUUGAAAAACAUAAUAAGGGCUUUAUAACAAGAAGCGCUUUCUGAUUUUACUGUGGACGUGUGGAAGAAUAGUGUGAAAUAUUGCGAAAAACCAACUUUUACUCUUGUUUACAUUUUUGUACGUCUCUAUCUGAGAGUAGUCUCUUGUAUAAAAAAUAUAGCCUACUAAUAAAGGAAAUUAAAGUGU